UACGUAGGGCCCGAGCAUUAUCCGGAAUUAUUGGGCGUAAAGAGCGUGUAGGUGUUCCUACAAGUCGGUCGUUAAAUCUCAGAGCUCAACUCUGAGGCCGCGAGCGAAACUGUAGGAAUUGAGGUUUACAGGGGCAAUCAGAAUUUCUGGAGUAGGGGUGAAAUCCGUUGAUACCAGAAGGAAUACCAAUGGCGAAGGCAGCUUGCUGGGUAACACCUGACACUGAGACGCGAAAGCGUGGGGAGCAAACGGG
rnacentral:rRNA from 1 species